rnacentral:rRNA from 1 species
AAGCUCGUAGUUGGAUCUGCUAAUUGAGUCUCGUAUACCCUCGGAUCCUUAACUGGGCCUUGUGGAGACUUGGUUACCUUGCCGUCGAGUGUGCUUGCGCUUAAUUGUGUUGAGUACUCGAGACGGAGGUUUUACUUUGAAUAAAUUAGAGUGUUCAAAGCAGCCUUUGGGCUUGGAUAUCAGAGCAUGGAAUAAUAGAAAAGGGCUGUGUCCCAAUCAUGUGGUCGUUGGCGAUACGGUAAUGAUUAACAGGGACGGGCGGGGGCAUUCGUAUUGCUACGUUAGAGGUGAAAUUCUUGGAUCGUAGCAAGACGGACUACUGCGAAAGCAUUUGCCAAGAACGUUUUCAUUAAUCAAGAACGAAAGUUAGAGUAUUGAAGAGGAUUAGAUACCCUCGUAAUUCUAACCAUAAACGAUACAUACUUGCGAUUCGCCAGAGUCCUCAACGACCUGGCGGGAAGCUACCCGGGAAACCAAAGUUCAUUUGUUCCGGGGGAAGUAUGGUUGCAAAAUCGAAACUUAAAGGAAUUGACGGAAGGGCACCACCAGGAGUGGAGCCUGCGGCUUAAUUUGACUCAACACGGGAAAACUCACCAGGUCCAGACAUAGUUAGGAUUGACAGACUGAAUCUCUUUUAUGAUUCUAUGGGUGGUGGUGCAUGGCCGUUCUUAGUUAGUGGAGUGAUCUGUCUGGUUAAUUCCGAUAACGAACGAGAUCCCGGCCAUUUAACUAGCUUCGUUCACUCUAUGUGUACGUGUGCUUCUUAGAGGAACCAUGUGGAAACAAUACCACAAGGAAGUGGGGCUAUAACAGGUCUGUGAUGCCCUUAGAUGUCCUGGGCCGCACGCGCGCUACACUGGGUACCUCAGCAUGAUUGUUAACCUGGUCCGUCAAGGUCUAGGUAAUCACUGAAUGGUACGCCAUACUUGGGAUAGAUUAUUGCAAUUAUUAAUCUUAAACGAGGAAUUCCUAGUAAGCGCCAGUCAUCAGCUGGCGUUGAUUACGUCCCUGCCCUUUGUACACACCGCCCGUCGCUACUACUGAUUGGACGUUUAAGCGAGAACUUCAGAUUCCUAGCGACUGAUCUUCGGUGAAAUCGUAAUGGGAAAAGUAGAUCUAGCUUUGGUGUCUAGAGGAAGUAAAAGUCGUAACAAGGUUUCCGUAGGGGAACCUGCGGAAG